CAGAGGGGGCAAGCGUUGUUCGGAAUUACUGGGCGUAAAGGGCGCGUAGGCGGCCUUCUAAGUCGAACGUGAAAUCCCCGGGCUCAACCCGGGAACUGCGUCCGAUACUGGAAGGCUUGAAUCCGGGAGAGGGAUGCGGAAUUCCAGGUGUAGCGGUGAAAUGCGUAGAUAUCUGGAGGAACACCGGUGGCGAAGGCGGCAUCCUGGACCGGUAUUGACGCUGAGGCGCGAAAGCCAGGGUAGCAAACGGGAUUAGAUACCCCGGUAGUCCUGGCCCUAAACGAUGAAUGCUUGGUGUGGCGGGUAUCGAUCCCUGCCGUGCCGAAGCUAACGCAUUAAGCAUUCCGCCUGGGGAGUACGGUCGACAAGGCUG
rnacentral:rRNA from 1 species